UGACCCCAGGUCAUGCGAGGCUACCCGCUGAGUUUAAGCAUAUCAAUAAGCGGAGGAUAAGAAACUUACGAGGAUUCCCUUAGUCACAGUGAGCGAACCAGGAAGAGCCCAGCUUGAGAAUCGGGCGGCUUUGUCGUUCGAAUUGUAGUCUGUAGAAGCGUGCUCAAUGGUGGACCAGGCCCAAGUCCCCUGGAAGGGGGCACCAGAGAGGGUGAGAGCCCUAUCAUGUUUGAACCCUAUUGCACCAUGAGGUGUGGUCGGUAAGUCGGGUUGUUUGGGAAUGUAGCCCCAAUUGGGCGAUAAAUUCCGUCCAAGGCUAAAUAUGGGUAAGAGACCGAUGGCAAACAAGUACCGUGAGGGAAAGAUGAAAAAGGACUUUGAAAAGAGAGUCAAAGAGUGCUUGAAAUUUUUGGGAGGGAAGCGGAUGGGGGUCGACGAUGCAUCUCGAUCAGAUGCAGAACCAUUAAUAGCCGAUCCGCUGCACGACUUGGGGCGUGGACCGAUGUGGAUUAUGGCAGCGUCCCAAGCUCGAGUUAUUGCGUUAUGCCUCAGGAGAUGUCAUCACCGUGAUCAUGGGAGGUAGAGUGCACCUCAAUGGCGUGCGUAUUGGCAACUGCAUUCUCCAGGCAUCGACCUAUCGGGCUCCCCAUUCGACUUGUCUUGAAACACGAACCAAGGAGUCUGACUUGUGUGCGAGUCAAUGGGCGAGUAAAACCCAUAAGGCAUAAGGAAGCUGACUGGUGGGAUCCCCUUGUGGGUUGCACCGCUGACCGACCUUGAUCUUCUGUGAAGGGUUCAAGCGAGAGCAUACUUAUCGGGACCCGAAAGAUGGUGAACUAUGCCUGAGCAGGGUGAAGGCAGAGGAAACUCUGGUGGAGGCCUACAACGAUACUGAUGUGCAAAUCAUUCGUCUGACUUGGGUAUAGGGGCGAAAGACUAAUCGAGCCGUUUAGUAGCUGGUUCCCCUCAAAGUUUCCCUCAGGAUAGCUGAAGCCCACGGGCGAGUACUAUCGGGUAAAGCCAAUGAUUAGAGGCAUUGGGGGCACAAUGCCCUCGACCUAUUCUCAAACUUUAAAUAGGUAGGAUGGUGUGGCUGCUUCAUUGAGUCAUGCCAUGGAAUCGGGAGCUUCAAGUGGGCCAUUUUUUGUAAGCAGAAUUGGUGAUGUGGGAUGAACCGGAAGCUAGGUUAUGGUACUGAAUUGCACGUUAACCUAGAACCCACAAAGGGUGUUGGUCGAUUAAGACAGCAGGACGGUGGUCAUGGAAAUCAAAAUCCUCUAAGGAGUGUGUAACAACUCACUUUCCAAAUCAACUAGCCCCAAAAAUGGAUGGCGUUGAAGUGCGUAACCUAUACCUGGCCAUCGGGGCAACUGCCAGGCCCCGAUGAGUAGGAGGGCACGACAGUCACCAUAAAACCUGGGGUGUGAGCCCGGGCGGAGUGACCAUCGGUCCAGAUCUUGGUGGUAGUAGCAAAUGGGUUCCAUGUGAACAACACUUGCAUAUGGGUUAGUCGAUCCUAAGGGAUGGGGGAAGCCCGUCAGAUAGCGUGUACACGCAUAUGGUCCGGAAGGGAAUCGGGUUAAAAUUCCUGAAUUGGGAUAUGGCAAUUGACAGUAAUGUUACAAAGUCUGGAGUCGUCGAUGGGGGCACCUCAGGAAGAGUUAUCUUUUCUGUUUAACAGCCUGCCCACCCUAGAAACGGCUCAGCCUGAGGUAGGGUCCAGUGACUGGAAGAGCACCGCACUUGGCGUUGUGUCCGGUGGCCAUUAAAAAUCUGGAGGACCGAGUGCUGACCACUCAUGGUCGUACUCAUAACCGCAUCAGGUCUCCAAGGUGAACAACCUUUGGUCGAUGGAACAAUGUAGGCAAGGGAAGUCGGCACAAUGGAUCCGUAACCUCGGGAAAAGGAUUGGCUCUGAGGGCUGGGCAUGGGUUUCCCAGUCCUGAACCCGUCGACUGUCGGUGGACUACUCUAGCUACUUUUACGGUGAGAGCGAGUCGUCGCCUGCUAGUCGGGGGACAGACUAUAAACGGCCCCUGAGGGGGCCUUCCCCGGGCGUCGAAUAGUCGACUCAGAACUGGUACAGACAAGGGGAAUCCGACUAUUUAAUUGAAACAAAGCAUUGCGAUGGUCCCUAUGGAUGCUCACGCAAUGUGAUUUCUGCCUAGUGCUCUGAAUGUCAAAGUGAAGAAAUUCAACCAAGUGCGGGUAAACGAUGGGAGUAACUAUGACUCUCUUAAGGUAGCCAAAUGCCUCAUCCUCUAAUUAGUGACGCGCAUGAAUGGAUUAAUGAGAUUCUCACUGUCCCUGUCUACUAUCCAGCGAAACCACAGCCAAGGGAACGGGCUUGAUAGAAUCAGAGGGGAAAGAAGACCUUGUUGAGCUUGACUCUAGUCCAACUUUGUGAAAUGACUUGAGAGGUGUAGGAUAAGUGGUAGCUGGAAACGGCGCAAGUGAAAUACCACUACUUUUAACGUUAUUUUACUUACUCCGUGAGUCAAAGGUGGGGCUCUGCCCCUCCUUUUGGACCCAAGGCCCACCUCGACGGGGCGAUCUGGGCAGAGGACAUUGUCAGGUGGGGAGUUUGGCUAGGGUGGCACAUCUGUUAAAAGAUAAUGCAGGUGUCCUAAGAUGAGCUCAAUGAGAACAGAAAUCUCGUGUGGAACAAAAGGGUAAAAGCUCGUUUGAUUCUGAUUUCCAGUAUGAAUAUGAACCAUGAAAGCGUGAAUUAUCGAUCCUUUAGACCUUCAGAAUUUGAAGCUAGAGGUGUCAAAAAAGUUACCACAGGGAUAACUGGCUUGUGGCAGCCAAGUGUUCAUAGCGACGUUGCUUUUUGAUCUUUCGAUGUCGGCUCUUCCUAUCAUUGCGAAGCAGAAUUCGCCAAGUGUUGGAUUUUUCACCCACCAAUAGGGAACAUGAGUAGGGUUUAAACCAUUGUGAGACAGGUUAGUUUUACCCUAUUGAUGACAUUAUCACGAUAGUAAUUCAACCUAGUACAAGAGGAACCAUUGAUUCACACAAUUGGUCAUCGUGCUUGGUUGAAAAGCCUGUGGCACGAAGCUGCCUCGUGUCGGAUUAUGACUGAAUGCCUUUAAGUCAGAAUCCAAGCUAAAGAAGCGAUGCCUGUGCCCAUGGCCCGUUUGUUGACUCACAGUAGGGGCCCUCCGACCCCCAGAGGCACGUGUUGUUGGCCAAACCCCCGCAGUGGACGUGUUGUGUGAGCUGCCUUGAAGCUUAAUUUCUAUCGAGCGAUGGGUAGAAUCCUUUGCAGAUGACUUAAUUACGCGAUGGGGUAUUGUAAGUGGCAGAGUGGCCUUGCUGCCACGAUCCAUUGAGAUUCAACCCUGUGUAGCAUCGAUUCUU